rnacentral:rRNA from 1 species
CCAGCAGCCGCGGUAAUUCCAGCUCCAAUAGCGUAUAUUAAAAUUGUUGCAGUUAAAAAGCUCGUAGUUGAAGUUCUGGCAGUUGGGCCGAGUGCUUUUCAAGCGCUCGAUCCGCUGCCAUCCGCUUGUGAGCAAGUCAUCUGAUCUAACCGUCAGACCUUGCGAGCUAGCAUUUUACCUUGAGAAAAACAGAGUGUUCCAGGCAGGCUUCGCCGGAAUGCAUUAGCAUGGAAUAAUAGAAUACGUCUGAUAUUCAAGCAUUGGUUGCGAAUUCAGAAAUGAUUAAUAGGAACGGUCGGGGGCAUUGGUACUUGACAAGGCAGAGGUGAAAUUCGUGGAUUUGU